rnacentral:rRNA from 1 species
CAGUAGCCGCGGUAAUACGUAGGGUGCAAGCGUUAAUCGGAAUUACUGGGCGUAAAGCGUGCGCAGGCGGUUAUAUAAGACAGAUGUGAAAUCCCCGGGCUCAACCUGGGAACUGCAUUUGUGACUGUAUAGCUAGAGUACGGCAGAGGGGGAUGGAAUUCCGCGUGUAGCAGUGAAAUGCGUAGAUAUGCGGAGGAACACCGAUGGCGAAGGCAAUCCCCUGGGCCUGUACUGACGCUCAUGCACGAAAGCGUGGGGAGCAAACAGGAUUAGAUACCCGGGUAGUCCUGUCUCUUAUACA